AGUGAGAUCUAUUACCAAGGGAGCUGCAGCUGUCCAAUGUUGGAAAUGCCUCCUAGAGUAAGUCUCUGGCUUCUUUUUACUCAUAAGAUUGUUAGGUCUGUGGGAAGGAACUACCAGACAGUU
rnacentral:snoRNA from 1 species